rnacentral:rRNA from 1 species
CCCUUAGAUGUUUUGGGCCGCACGCGUGCUACACUGAGUGGAUCAGCGGGUCAGGUUGCGCGAAAGUGUUUCCUAAUCUUUAAAUCCGCUCGUGAUGGGGAUUGACGGUUGCAAUUUUCCGUCAUGAACGAGGAAUACCUUGUAAGCGCGGGUCAUCAUCCCGCGCUGAAUACGUCCCUGCCCUUUGUACACACCGCCCGUCGCUCCUACCGAUUGAGUGGUCCGGUGAGGCUUUGGGAUCUGAGCGGAAAGAGCGUUUCGCUGUUUCUGCCCGGAAAACUCAGUCGAACCUUAUCAUUUAGAGGAAGGAGAAGUCGUAACA